rnacentral:rRNA from 1 species
UGGGGAAUAUUGCGCAAUGGGGGCAACCCUGACGCAGCAACGCCGCGUGCAGGAAGAAGGUCUUCGGAUUGUAAACUGUUGUCGCAAGGGAAGAAGACAGUGACGGUACCUUGUGAGAAAGUAACGGCUAACUACGUGCCAGCAGCCGCGGUAAUACGUAGGUGACAAGCGUUGUCCGGAUUUACUGGGUGUAAAGGGCGCGUAGGCGGACUGUCAAGUCAGUCGUGAAAUACCGGGGCUUAACCCCGGGGCUGCGAUUGAAACUGACAGCCUUGAGUAUCGGAGAGGAAAGCGGAAUUCCUAGUGUAGCAGUGAAAUGCGUAGAUAUUAGGAGGAACGCCAGAAGCGAAAGCGGGGCACUGUGCCGAUUCUGACGCUGAGACGCGAAAGCGUGGGGAGCAAGCA